UCACGUGAGACUUUCGUUCGCCAAUCCUGGAUCACCACCCCAUGCUCUACCACCUGCUGCUGUGAAGCCUAUGGCGGCGCACAUAGCGAGCUUCCUGCACAGCGCAUGCGUAUUUCACCAGAGUCUGCCAGAAGCGAUGGUGGCCGGUAGGCCUAAUCCCCGGUUCACGAGGAAUUUUUCAUCAAAUCUUGGCAUGCCACAGCAGAACAGACCAAUAAAAAUAUGUUAUUCAGGAUGUCUGCAAUCCAGUAAAGCAUGGAAAACUGGGAAUAGUCUGAGAACUAUUGCAUGACUGGAAAACUAGAAAAAAUGUCAAGAAAGCGGUGAAGAGCUGCUGAAGUAAAAAUUCCCUAAAUAAGUUUACACAAUUGUACAAUGGCGA